rnacentral:rRNA from 1 species
CAUAUCAAUAAGCGGAGGAAAAGAAACUAACAAGGAUUCCCCUAGUAACUGCGAGUGAAGAGGGAAAAGCUCAAAUUUAAAAUCUGUCAGUCUUUGGCUGUCCGAGUUGUAAUCUAGAGAAGUGUUAUCCGCGCUGGACCGUGUACAAGUCUCCUGGAAUGGAGCGUCAUAGAGGGUGAGAAUCCCGUCUUUGACACGGACUACCAGGGCUUUGUGAUGCGCUCUCAAAGAGUCGAGUUGUUUGGGAAUGCAGCUCAAAAUGGGUGGUAAAUUCCAUCUAAAGCUAAAUAUUGGCGAGAGACCGAUAGCGAACAAGUACCGUGAGGGAAAGAUGAAAAGAACUUUGGAAAGAGAGUUAAACAGUACGUGAAAUUGCUGAAAGGGAAACGCUUGAAGUCAGUCGCGUUGUCCAGGGAUCAACCUUGCUUUUGCUUGGUGUACUUUCUGGUUGGACGGGUCAGCAUCAAUUUUGACUAUUGGAGAAAGAUUAGGGGAAUGUGGCAUCUUCGGAUGUGUUAUAGCCCUUGGUUGUAUACAAUGGUUAGGAUUGAGGAACUCAGCACGCCGCAAGGCCGGGUUUUUAACCACGUACGUGCUUAGGAUGCUGGCAUAAUGGCUUUAAUCGACCCGUCUUGAAACACGGACCAAGGAGUCUAACAUACCUGCGAGUGUUUGGGUGGAAAAACCCGAGCGCGUAAUGAAAGUGAAAGUUGAGAUCCCUGUCAUGGGGAGCAUCGACGCCCGGACCAGAUCUUUUGUGACGGUUCCGCGGUAGAGCAUGUAUGUUGGGACCCGAAAGAUGGUGAACUAUGCCUGAAUAGGGUGAAGCCAGAGGAAACUCUGGUGGAGGCUCGUAGCGAUUCUGACGUGCAAAUCGAUCGUCAAAUUUGGGUAUAGGGGCGAAAGACUAAUCGAACCAUCUAGUAGCUGG